rnacentral:rRNA from 1 species
GACGAACGCUGGCGGCGUGCUUAACACAUGCAAGUCGAACGAAGUGGCGAACGGGUGAGUAACGCGUAAUCAACCUGCCCUUCAGAGGGGGACAACAGUUGGAAACGACUGCUAAUACCGCAUACUGAAGGAGGGGAUUGAGUCUGAUUAGCUAGUUGGAGGGGUAACGGCCCACCAAGGCGAUGAUCAGUAGCCGGGCUGGGGGGAAGAACGGCCACAAUGGGACUGAUGCACGGCCCAGACUCCUACGGGAGGCAACAGUGGGGAAUCUUCCGCAAUGGACGAAAGUCUUACGGCGCAACGCCGCGUUGUUGGUGACGGCCUUCGGGUUGUAAAGCUCUGUUAAUCGGGACGCGGUACCGGAAUAGUAAGCCACGGCUAACUACGUGCCAGCAGCCGCGGUAAUAC